UACGAAGGGUGCAAGCGUUACUCGGAAUUACUGGGCGUAAGGCGUGCGUAGGUGGUUCGUUAAGUCUGAUGUGAAAGCCCUGGGCUCAACCUGGGAAUGGCAUUGGAUACUGGCGACCUAGAGUGCGGUAGAGGGUGGCGGAAUUCCCGGUGUAGCAGUGAAAUGCGUAGAUAUCGGGAGGAACAUCCGUGGCGAAGGCGGCCACCUGGACCAGCACUGACACUGAGGCACGAAAGCGUGGGGAGCAAACAGG
rnacentral:rRNA from 1 species